UACGUAGGGUGCGAGCGUUAAUCGGAAUUACUGGGCGUAAAGCGUGCGCAGGCGGUUCGUUAUGUCCGAUGUGAAAGCCCCGGGCUUAACCUGGGAAUGGCAUUUGGGACUGCAAGGCUAGAGUGCGGCAGAGGAGACUGGAAUUCCUGGUGUAGCGGUGAAAUGCGCAGAUAUCAGGAGGAACACCGGUGGCGAAGGCGGGUCUCUGGGCCGAUACUGACGCUGAGGAGCGAAAGCGUGGGGAGCGAACAGG
rnacentral:rRNA from 1 species